UACAGAGGGGGCAAGCGUUGUUCGGAAUUACUGGGCGUAAAGGGCGCGUAGGCGGCCUGCUAAGUCGAACGUGAAAUCCCUGGGCUCAACCCAGGAACUGCGUCCGAUACUGGUUGGCUUGAAUCCGGGAGAGGGAUGUGGAAUUCCAGGUGUAGCGGUGAAAUGCGUAGAUAUCUGGAGGAACACCGGUGGCGAAGGCGACAUCCUGGACCGGUAUGACGCUGAGGCGCGAAAGCCAGGGGAGCAAAGCGGGG
rnacentral:rRNA from 1 species